UUCUGUUGUCCUUCAUUCCACCGGAGUCUGUCUCGUACCCAACCAGAUUUCAGUGGAGUGAAGCACAAGAGGCA
rnacentral:pre_miRNA from 1 species